rnacentral:rRNA from 1 species
AGCGAACGCUGGCGGUAGGCCUAACACAUGCAAGUCGAACGCCAGCCCAGUAAGAGCUUGCUCUUACGGGUGGCGCGUGGCGGCCGGGUGUGGACUACAUCGUAAUCUACUUUUUCGUGGGGGAUAACGUAGGGAAACUUACGCUAAUACCGCAUACGACCUAAGGGUGAACGCAGGGGAUCUUCGGACCUUGCGCGAUUGAAUGAGCCGAUGUCGGAUUAGCUAGGUGGGGGGGUAGAGGCCCACCAGGGACACGAUCCGUAGCUGGUAUCAGAGGAUGAUCAGCCACACUGGAUGUGAGAAACGGUCCAGACUCCUGCGGGAAGCAGCAGUGGGGAAUAUUGGACAAGGGGCGCAAGCCGGAUCCAGCCAUACCGCGUGGGUGAAGAAGGACUUCGGGUGGGUAAGCGAUGAUGUUGUGAGAGAAAAGCAGCAGGUUAAUACCCCGCGGUUCUGACGGUACCCGAAGAAGAAGCACCGGCUAACUUCGUG